GGUCCGCUGGCUCAAUGGCAGAGCGUCUGACUACGAUAGUGUAAUCAGGAGGUUCCAGGUUCGACCCCUGGGUGGAUCG